AAGUAAGUCCUGGAAUAAAUAACCAUUUAACCCCCAAAGAAUAGUAAUUGGGCCAUGGACAUCUUCUGGGAAUAUGCUGAGACCUGUCUCUUCACCCAGAAGCCCUAUGACAAGCAACGAGAAUUCUUUGUCUUCUGUCUUGACACUCUCUGAUCUUCGGAGUCUCCUGGGGAGAAAAAGUGAAUCAAUAGAUUCAUCACACGAACAAGAACCUGGUACUCUGAAAAGGCUUUAGAUGAAUUCCUGACCUGUCAGGACCAGCGGAGACCAUUUCUACGUCCAUUUGGAGUGUUGGGACUGAAUGGGGAUGCAUAAUAGGACUGCACUUUGAGAACCGCUGCUCUGGGAGAUGGAGGCUGAGGUACAAGAGAUGUACUGUUGGAUAUUUUGUUUUGCUACAGUAAAUCUCAAUGAUUCCUGACUUGGGGACCAGAGAUGGGCAGAUUGGGACAGGAGGGCUGUGAAGUCAUUGCAAGAGAUCUUAUCUAAAUACACAUAGGCUUGGCAUGUUUUGAACCUCGUGGGAUUACAGAAGUGAGCCUCAAUGCCUAAGGAGACUCCAGAAGUCAACUCCUCUCAUUCCUUAAAAGCCAAUCUGUGGGGAUUGAGGUGAGGAAGGAAUGAAGACUGGCCCUUUGGGCACACCCAUCUGGAAUCAGGCAAGGUUUACUGGAGCCACUCUGCCUGCCAGCAGAACAGCCCAGGAAAAAAGCCUGGGACCUUUGCAAAUGCCUGAGCAGGACUUUGCAGGGCACAGAGUCAGCAGGAUUUUCACCAAACGACAUCCAUCUUAAUUGGUAGCAUCAGACUCAUGAGGUCUUCCACGGCCUGGGCAUCACAAACUCUCAUUACUGGUCAUACUGCCAAUGGCCUCCUUUUAUAUAUAGUUGAUGAAUUUGAGGACAAACCAGAGAAUUGCCCUUGGCCAAACCAAGCUGUCUCACCCAAGAUUUUUUCCCUCCUUGGGGAAAUCCUGGGGCAAAAAGCACAUCCAGGGAAACCAAUCUGCCUGACACUGGCAAUUAAAUGCUCCAGGCCUGAAGGGACAUGGCACUUUUGCACAUGGCUCAUUGGCUAGAUGUACACACACUGCCCCACCCCAGCAACAAGGGGGCCAGUAAAUGCAACCCCACCAUGAUACCAAAAGGGGAAAAAUUGGAAAUAUUUGGUCAUCAGCACUAAGGACAAGGGAAUGGGGAGACCACAGAAGGCCAGCAGAACUGUAAAACCCACAGCACUGAACUGUCCUUAGAACGCAGCUUUGAAAACUCCCUCCUCUGAGGGACUGCUUCCCUUAACUGAGCUGCUGCAGAUGGAAACCUAGCUAGAUCCUCAUCUUCUGCAGUCUAGUCCCUCAUUGUGGUUUAUCACCUCCCAAGCUGUCCUCUGCUCUCUUUCCCUAUCUUUGUGUUGCUAAGCCAUGGACUCAGUUUAGCUGGCCCUGAAUUACAAGAUGGCGCCUUCCCUGGAAUGGAGAAAAGUCUGGAUAUUUCAGGAUGCCUUGAUUUGAAGCCUGUUUGACUCCAAAGUUCUCUGGUUUACUCCCACCUGUGGGAAACGUGAGGCUAGAUCUCCACACACAUGGAUUCCAAAGUGUCAUGAUCUGUGACAUCAUCUGUCAGACUGUAUUGAUCAGAGGCUCAGGGACAGAUGACCCUAUUUAGGCAAGGAAAUGAGUGGGUGAAGCAGCAAGAUUCACCUUUCCCGGUUUCAUCUGGGGGUUGUUUUGCCAACAUUGCCAUCUGUUGGGCCAGUGCUGGCUACAGCAGCCAAGCUUCAGACAUCACUGCAUCUUUAUCAAUGACCUUGGGACCACAGGAGAUGACCUUCUGACCAAACAGCAGCCAAUGAAGGAAUCUUAAAAGGCACAUCACUUUAUAUUUAUUCAGUGGUUAUGUCGUCACUUAAUCGUCACCACAACCUUGUGAGUUCAGGACAAUUUGUGUUUUCAUUUUACCUGUGAACAAAUGGAGGCAGAGAGUUUGAGUAAUUUACAAGUAAGUGGCAGAUCCAGGGGCUGUGCCUAGACAAUGUGGCCCCAGACUCCUUGCCCCUCCCUGCCUUCUGCUGCAUCUGGAUUGAGUCUAGCCAUCUAUUUCUUUAACACACACUAAUUGCUGUCUCCAUGUUCCAGGCCCUGUGCCAGAUGCUAGAAAUACAUCCCCAUCCACUGGAUCUUGGCAUGGUCCAUUGCUCAGUGUCCUGCUAUGUUACAUGUUACAUAAUGCAUUUAUUCCAGUAUUUAGCCCAUGGAAAAUAAUGCUGAAAGACAUUGUAUGCAUGUUUCUACAACAAAACUAUGUAACUUAUGUUUCUUUUAUUGCUUUGGCUAUCAGGAAGCUCUUAUCCAAAUCAGAGCAAAUACGUUAGAAUUUGGGCUUGUCAUUUCAGUUUGCUGAACUUUUCCUUCUGGCCCAGAUUUUCUAUUUUGGUUCAUAAAUUCUAUUGCACAAAUGUCCUUUAUUGUAAAACACCUUAAAUUCUUUCUAAAGGAAGGCUGCAUGGAAAUGAUACAGUAAGGUCUUCCCUGCAUUUUCUUAGAUUCCUAUUAGGGAAGGCAGACCUAGAUGUCCCUCUUACCCUCAGUCCCAAAGCCCCCCAUUUAUAAAAUCCCUUAAGCAGUGACUACUGCUGUUCUGAGUACCUGGAGGUAGUUCAGAGCUUCUGAAAGGUAACAUCCAUAUAAAAAAAGAAGUUCCCUCCAAUCCAGAUCCCAGCUUUGGUGCCAGAUGCACAUUUGAGGAGUAGGUGGCUAGUCAGACUCUCACCUGAGCAGUUAAUAAAAUCUAUUGCCCCUUGAUGGAAUUUUUUCUGCAAGCUCGAAUUGAUCUGUCAUCUUUGUGAUUUGUGAGAUGGCAGGGAAACACCAAACACCAUCAUGACUUGGGCCACAACGGGGGGAAAAAAGGAAAAAAGAAAAAAAAAAUCCACUGCCAAGGCUUGCCAGGCAUAGAAA